AAAGGGAGCGUAGGUGGACUGAUAAGUCAGUGGUGAAAUCUCCGAGCUUAACUCGGAAAUUGCCAUUGAUACUGCCGGUCUUGAGUACAGUUGCUGUGGGCGGAAUAUGACAUGUAGUGGUGAAAUACAUAGAGAUGUCAUAGAACACCGAUUGCGAAGGCAGCUCACAAAGCUGUAACUGACACUGAGGCUCGAAAGUGCGGGGAUCAAACAGGAUUAGAUACCCUAGU
rnacentral:rRNA from 1 species